UACGUAGGGGGCAAGCGUUGUCCGGAUUUAUUGGGCGUAAAGAGCGUGUAGGCGGCCAGACAGGUCCGUUGUGAAAACUCGAGGCUCAACCUCGAGACGUCGAUGGAAACCGUCUGGCUAGAGUCCGGAAGAGGAGAGUGGAAUUCCCGGUGUAGCGGUGAAAUGCGCAGAUAUCGGGAAGAACACCCGUGGCGAAGGCGGCUCUCUGGGACGGUACUGACGCUGAGACGCGAAAGCGUGGGGAGCGAACAGG
rnacentral:rRNA from 1 species